rnacentral:rRNA from 1 species
UACGUAGGGGGCUAGCGUUGUCCGGAAUUAUUGGGCGUAAAGCGCAUGUAGGCGGGAUGUUAAGUCGCGUGUGAAAGCCCCAGGCUCAACCUGGGAAGUGCGCGCGAAACUGGCAACCUUGAGUGCUGGAGAGGGUGGCGGAAUUCCCGGUGUAGAGGUGAAAUUCGUAGAUAUCGGGAGGAACACCAGAGGCGAAGGCGGCCACCUGGACAGACACUGACGCUGAGACGCGAAAGCGUGGGGAGCAAACAGG